rnacentral:rRNA from 1 species
UACGUAGGACGCAAGCGUUAUCCGGAAUCAUUGGGCGUAAAGCGUCUGUAGGCGGUAUAUUAAGUUGGGUAUUAAAUUUUAGGGCUCAACCCUAAAGCAUUACCCAAAACUGGUAAACUAGAGGGUUAAAGGGGCAAGUGGAAUUCCCGGUGUAGGGGUAAAAUCCGUAGAUAUCGGGAGGAACACCAAAAGCGAAGGCAUCUUGCUGGAUUAACCCUGACGCUGAGAGACGAAAGCGUGGGUAGCAAACAGG